AAUCCCAUUGGCCAGAAUUCAGUCACGUGACCUCGCCUGACGGCAAGGGACGCUGGGAAAUACCAGUCCGGCUGUGUGCCCUGGAGGAAGAGGAAGCGAUUGGGGUGUGGGGUGGUGAGCGGCCAGACGGUCUCCGUCACACGCGGACCCCGUGAGCUUGCCUGUGCGACGCCGUUAAACGUCCCCCUGUAGACAGAGCUGGGGGGAAGGCUGCCCUUUGGAACUUUGUUCCCAUGUCCCGUGUCCCACGCGGCAACCUCACUUCAGUGCUCGCUGCACAGAAUCGGAGGACUGGCUAAGUCAUGGUCCCCGGCCUCUGGGGCUUUCUGUGUCCCUGGAGUCAGCAGACGCAGGAAGAGAGGCCUGAGCGAGGCAUGAUGUCAGAAGUCCACACUGGCACCCGUGGGGCAGGAAGAUGCCUCGGAGCUUCAGCGAAAGGCCCACAGCUGAGGGCAGCUCCCCAUUCUCGACGGGGCAGCCUGCCGUGUCUCCAGGGCUCACCCAGGGCAGCCAGGCCUCGGCGCCUCACCACCGUCAGCCGGUCCCGCCCCUCCAAGCGGGGCCGGGCCCUAUGAGCUGCAGCUUACGUGCAGGUGUGAGUAAACUGAGGCUCAGCGAGGUGAACUGACAUCCCGAGAGGGAACGGGAACCCUUGGCCGACUCCAGCCGCCCUGGGCCUCGCGCUGCUCACAGCAUCGUCCCCAGCCCCGUGCCACCCGGGACCUGGCCACCAAGGUGUGGCCACCAUCGGUGACGUGAGUACAUGAAGCAGCAGAAGUGGGUCUUCCUGGAGUUCUGUGAGCUGCUUCUGGAUGACAAGGUUUCCCUCUCGAUACAAAGAUACUGACUAGUACAAGACAGCAAGGAAACUGUUCCCCGCAGCCUGCUCUUAGAUCAGACAACAAGAGCUUUAAAAUUACUGAAGUGAAGAAACUGAAGAUAAGAAUUUGGGCAGCCCCGAACCAGCCGUUCUUCAGCCAGCACACACUGGACCCGACGGCUGCCUUCCUGCUAAGGCCUCUGCCGCAGAGGCCACCCGCCCUGCAGCGCCCGAGGCUUCUCUCUGCCAAGCAAGUCAUCCUGCAGAGGCAGUCCUCGUGCCUCUGAAGAGCACUCUGCAAAGGGACUCUGAACAGCAGACACGGCUAUCUGGAGAGGGUGCUGGAGCGCGGUCCUGUCUACACCACUGUAAAGCCUGAUGCCGCCAGGGGGCUGAGACUCUCUGGGAGGAGGACCGGCUCGGCAGCCCCACGGGCAGUGUGCUCAGCACUCCCUACCCUGAGAGGGCGUCCGUGUCUCAGCCCUGGGCUGGCUGUCAGCCCUCGUGGGAAAGGCCUGGCUCUUCUCUCCGGGCUCCCCAUCGGGUGCCCGCACGCCCCUGGGCUCACGGCAAGCGCACAUCUGUUUCCAGGCAGACGCAGCAACGUGAAUUGGUCCCCGUCUCAGAUCCAGAGAGAGGCCUAGUGAUGGCCACGGAAGUUUUUUAGUGAAUCAUAAAUGUUCAUCAAAGCCUUAGCUGAAAAACUCCCCUGACCAGAAUCCCUCUGCUCUAUGGCUACUCCUCAGGUAAGACGCUUUCUAGGAGCAAUGGGUGCCCGCCUGCUGGGCAGCGAGCAGUCGCAGGGGCCACGUGUCCAGAGACAGGCCAGCUUUUUGUCAGAGCACACUCGUGCAGCCCGAGUUCUGCCUAGAAAUCAGGACCUGAGUCUUCUGGACGCCUGACCCAGUCCCGAUUAACCUUCCCGGCUGAGGCACUGGUGACAGCAGCCGCAGGCCUCCCCCAGAGGGGCAGAUGGCAGCUGUAUUUGUGAGGAAGGGUGACUGCACACAUACCAACCCCAGUGGGCGGGAAGGGACAUUCCCAGAAGCACUUUAGGAUACUGAGGCAUCACGCCUGUGUGCUUCAGAGCUGAAUUUGUAAAAUCCACUAGAAGGCAAAGGGAGAACAAUCUGGUGCCCAAAAGUCACUUCAUUUGCAAGAAAGCAAUCGGUGAACACGGCGAGGUUAGGCUGAACACAUCCGGUUAUCUGUCAUCAAGAGCAGGCGCCUUCCGCUGAGUCACAGCACUUACACUUCAUUAAUGCAACAGGAAGGGAGGGGAGGAAAUGAAGAAACAAUUCCUUUACACUCAACUAAUCUAAAAAUGCUGGGAACACGAGCAAAUGGCACGGCAACUGGCGAUGCGAAGCCAGGGCGAGGGCACAGCCUCACUCUGUGCUGAUACCCGUCACUGGUGACUGAAUACUCUGCGUGAUCACGUCUGAAAAAGACCUGAAAGCACUGUGCACUGACCGACGGUUUUUCUACUUUAAUGUCCAGUUUAAUGGGAUGCUGUCUACACUCCGAACCUGAGCUGUUGAUCGUCGUGUUAAAUCAGGCCCCGUUUCCCAGAACGCUAAGAGCAACACUGCAGACGCCCAUUAUUGAAGGGACAACCACUCGAGCAAAACCCUUCCAGUGGUUUACAUUUGAGAACUCCCCUCAUCUUGUAGUACCUGCCAAUACCUGAUCAAUUCCCUUCAUGGAAUCUUCCUCCAGGGACACACUCUCCUUUUAGCGUAGGUGGUAAGCAAACCCAAAGAAUACGUGAAGAAAAAGAUCUGCUUGUCACCAUUAACCAUCUGAACUGCCCGUAUUUGCCUUUUCAAAGGUGUGCAAGUUAGUGUCAGCCGUUAGAGAGGAAACAGUGAUUAGAGACCUAAGUAAGCAAUCACUUACCUCACAAAUUAUUUUUAGACAUCACUUGAACGUUUUGUGUCUUUUCUUCAGGAUCUUAAGGUGCAUACUGUCCUAUGUGGUAGGAUCUGAAAGAUAAUAAAAUCUGAUUAGAAAAGUUACUUAUUUUAUGACCAAGGCGCAUAUACUAUUUCUCAGUGCAUAUGAUCAACUUUGGGAGCACAUGUAACCGAUGUGACGCUUCCCACCUGAAGUUCCGUUGCUCAGAACCAUCUUUAACUAUGAAAUCAUGACUCCUCUAGGUUUUCGUUACUAGUAAACUGCUUGACAAUCCUGAAAAUUAAGUAAUUUAUUUUAAACCUGUCCAUUUUACACUCUUGUUACUUUAGCCCUGGUCUUAAAUACAAAUCUCUAAGCCAAAAUCCCUGAGAAAGAGCCCCAGGGAUAAUCCAGACCAAAUCUGGUCAACCUGCAUUUCAACAGGCAGCAAGUGUUCACCGUUCACCAGCCACAGCAGAGGAAUUACAGAAAAGAUGAGAGAGAAAGAGGUGAGAGGUGCACCAGGCCCCGCUGGGGGAGGGUGCCCCGGGGGAGGGGGCACAGUGCACGAAGGAGCGGGUGGAAUGAGUGAGGGGCAUCCCAGCCUGGCAGCGUCUCCCACUGGGUGGGCAAGCAGACGUAGCCUCCCUAGAAGCACUCAUCUGGCCCAAGAAAAGAGGCUGGAAGACACCAAGAGGCGGCGUGUCCCCCUCCCAAAGAGGUCAGAUUGCUGCCAGGUUUCCCUAAGACCAGGGCCACCAGAGGACAAAGGACCAUGGACGCAGACGCUCCAAGCACACGCUCCUGGUACAUCUCAUCCUUAAAUGUGAACCAAGAGCCAACAGAUGUUCUGGAGAAAAGCUCAAACAGGUCUUAUGGAAGAGCCCCAGAGAGAAAAGAGAGAAACCGGAAUUUAGAGCAGGCAUAAUGCACAGAGAAGAAAACUUACGAAGAAUUAAGAGGCUGCAUUUGUGAGACAAAGGGGAACAUUCUGAGAACUUCCUAGUUAUUGAAAAAUAAAAAUAUGAUGGUAGAAUUUUUUAAUCUUACAAACAGGACUGGAAGAGAGAAUGGGGAAAUUUCCCAGAAAGGAGAACUAAACAACAAAGGGGAAGGGGGGAAGGAUAAACUUGGAGUUUGGGAUUAACAUAUACACACUAUACAGAAAAUAGAUUAACCAACAAGGACCUCCUGUAUAGCACAGGGAACUGUAUUCGGUACCUUAUGAUAACCUAUACUGGGAAAGAAUCUGGAAAAGAUUAGAUAUACAUAUAUAUAAAACUGAAUCAGUCUGCUGUACACCUAAAACUAACACAACAUUGUAAAUCAGCUACAGUAAAUCAGCAAAAAACAAACAAAAACAAGACAAAGACCUUAGGAGAGAAAAUGAAAUGAAAUCAGAGGACCAAUCCAGGAGGUCCAUCUUCCAAACAACAGGUCUGGCAAAGGCACCCCGAACAAGACGUCCUUCCUCUGCACAGCUCCACUGCCACCCAGGCUGGCGGCCCCGUGUGCCUCGCAGCCUGUCCACUCUCUUUGCAUCUGAUAUCCUUCCAACGUAACAUUUUUCUCUCAGCAAACCCUCAGUUGGUGUCUGUUUUCUGAAACCAAGACCCCUGACUAGGACACCAGGGGGCUGGCGUGGAAGAGGGUGAGGGGACUCGGGGGUCGAGGGGUGGGCAGGGUAAGCUCCCCUGGUCUCCUCCCAGUAACUGGAGGCUGCUCGCUGCUUCCUGACCGGGAGUGCCCCCUCCGCCGGGCCCGGCUCUGCUGUCAGGCUCCCCUGCCCACCCGACCCUACAAGUCUCCUCAGGACCCGUCCUCCCUCCACAAGGACGUGGACAGCCUCCCCGCACCCGUCACCGCCACCCUGCACACCAAAGGUUCCCUAGCCUAUCUGUGGCUCUGAGUCCCCUCUGAACUUCUCAGUAACAAAUGUGGCCGUGAACCACAAGCUGCUUAAACUAACGGAGGUGACUUGUAAAAUAUGGCAUUUAUAUAUAUAUAUAUAUAUAUAUAUAUAUAUGGUAACUCUAUUCAAAUAUCUAUGCAGUAGCCAACAGCUUUAAACGCCAGGUAACGUGCUGAACCAGUAAUGCCUGAUUAUGCCUAGUGAUACUUUCAACUUUGCAUUCACAUUCAUUUUGAGUAUCUUCAAAUGAGCUUAUGUUAGCACUGUUUUAAAAGAAAACCAGCAUUGCAAAACCCAGGACUGCCCAUCGCAGUCCUCAGGUCUACAGCAGAAUCUCUACAAUGAGACCAAACCCCGUUACUUUUAUAAAUUUUUAAAAAUAACCAAAAUGGCAACCACGUCGGAAAGCGGCCUGGUACUUUCUCAGAGUUAAACCAACACCCUCCCUGUGCCUCGGCAAUUCCACUUCUAGGUAUUUACCUCAAGGUGAAUAUGAACACAAAACGUGUACAGAACUGUUCACAGCUGCUGCAUUCAUUAAGUCACCAAAGCAGAACAACCCAAACACCCCUCACCAGGAGAUGAAUCAACAAACCACAGUAUAUUCAUACAAGGGGGACUGCGGACGGAUACAGGCCACCGUGUGGAUACAUCUCAAAAAAUCACGCCAAGUGAAAAACACAGUAUGUACAGUAGGAGUCCAUCUGCAUGGCACUCUGAACCAGGCGAAGCUAAUUUAUUUUGAAAGAAAUCAGAACGGGGUUGGAGCACAAGAGGGAAUGACGGAGAGUCCAAGGUAACUUUCUGAGUUGACGGAAAGGGCAGCAGGCGACACAGGCACACGCACUGUCAAACCAAAUUCAAUGAACUGUUAAAAUUAUACACUUAAAAUUGUGCAUUUCACUGUACGUUAACUAUGCCUCAGUUAAAAAAUGAACAGGAGAAAGAAUAACCAGCACAGGUACACGUGCAGGUGUAAAAGGGUGUGGUAACAGCCAGGUUCUAAGUGCUGCUGAACCCGUUCUCGCCCUACAGAUGCUGCCUUCCGAGCCAGACCCUGUCACAGUUUACUUUUAACAGUAUCUUCGGGCAAGUGUCUUAAACUCUUCCCCUCACUUUUUUCCCCGUGUCUAUAAACAGAAGAUGCAUUUCUCAUAAACAAACUGAAGACAAGUAAACAAAAGACGUCAAUAUACUUUGGUGAUCAGUUGCUACAAAAAAGAAUGAAGAUCCAAUGAUUUUCACUGUUGCAAUAAAAGGAAAUGUCCACCCUAGAGUCUGGUAUUCACGUGCAUGUUAAACACUGCUUAAACUCAUCACUGUUUUACUAUUCAUACGCCCACUGCUGACCUAUAAGAAACAGGAAUAAGCACAUCUCUGCUUCAGGCACAGAAGCAGCGUGUGAGGCAAACACAGGCCGUGAGAUGUGCUGAAUUCAAACGUGGGGGCGGGGCCUCUAAGCUGCAGACUCCAUGUGAGGCCCAAGGAUGCUCAACCUCGGACAGGCCCUCAGCCCACGAGGGCUCAUGGGAGAGAGAGGCGGGGACCAGCCUGGUAAACAACGUGCUCGGUGUUAUCCCCAGUGGCAGGCAGAGGGCGAUGACGGAGAGAGAUGACAAUCGCUUAUCCUGUCCAGAGGAACCAGAAAAGUGUCGGUUAGGACGACAGCAGGAGUGGGCCCACAGGACAGGCAAGAUCGCACAGGAGAGGACAGUGCGGGAGGCACAGAGGCUGGAAGGGGAAUCCGCCGGCUGCAGGGCCCUGGGCUCAGCGCGAGGGAGGGCGGGAAGGCAGGGAAGGGGAGGCCAGGGCCCUGAAAUUCUGUACGUCAUUCUGCUGCAAAGGGAGACUGGAACUUCGGUCAACAGACAAAUGUUUUAGAAAGAUAACUGGUGACAAACUAAGAUUAGGAUGGAAGGAGGAAGACGGGCAGCCGGGAGGCGGCUGCCAUGCCCCCGAGCAGAGCUGACAGACGCAGGGCCAGCAGGGGAGCGGGGCCUGCAGGGGACGAGCAGGGACUGGGAGCAGGAAGGCUGGCUGGAGCAGACAGCACACCAAGGGGCCGCGACCUUCUCCCAGCAGUGCCGGUAAAGAGCCAAGAAGCUUGCAGACUGGGUGCUACAAUGGGGCUUCCCUGGUGGCGCAGUGGUUGGGAAUCUGCCU